AAGAAAAACACAUUAAUUCAACACGCAAGAAAGUCCAGAGUUCGACACAACGUAAAUUCCAUAGGAAACCGGCACAAUUCUUUUAAAAUUCAACGAAACUGUGUAAAAUAUAGUUUGAUCACUCUGUGAAAAGUCGCCAUUGGAGUUCGGAAUUGUGCGCGUGCGUACAAGUGUAUGGGCUAAUAAACGAAAAUGUACCACAAGCAUGGCAUGAGUCGGCUAUUACGUACAUAAAUACCGAACUUAUUACUAUACUAUCUAAAUCAUGGAACCGAGGGAAUCAAUGGCAUUUUGGCUUAAUGGUUGCACCAUGAGCCUGCGAUGAGCUAACGCAAACUCGAUUUCUCGACUACGAAAAAAACACAAAAAGGGGGAUUUAAGACACUUGGCCCUACAGGCCAGUGUAAUAAACCAAUUACCAACGUCUAUUAUACCCAAUAACCAAGAUCAAAUAUGUAAUGCCGUAUAGAAGACCAGGAUGUAGCCUACAUCCUGGUCUUCUAUACGGCAUUACAUAUCAUGUAGCGAUGUUUAUGGAUGACACAACAUUAUCGGAAGUAAUCAAUGUCAGUGGCCAUUUAGGUGGUAUCUACCGUAUCUCCAUCGGUAAUACUCAAAUGAAUUGAACGUAGACAAGGAGGGACAGUUUGCAAAGGAC